AGGAGUCAGAAAUACAGUGUGAAUUAAACUGUCCAGUUAAACAUGAAGCGUUCUUAAGCGAAAUUCCGACAGCCCUUCAUUUGUGUCGGCUUUCCUCAUUGUACAAUUUAGAUGAGAUUCGGGAAUUGGUUACCUAUCUUGGACUUCCAUACGUUAACUGGAGCGAUCUCUAUCAAUUUGAAAGUGAACCAGAAGUACUGAAAUUCAAAGUACUGCGUCGAUGUCACGAGAAAUCAACUCUGACAUUCAGAAAAAUUAAGGAAGCUGUAGAGGGAGGACACAUACAAACUCCUCAUACCCUUUGCAAGGUAAUGAAAGGAGCAUCUGUAGACUUUG